rnacentral:tRNA from 2 species
UCCCUGGUAGCUCAGUCGGUAGAGCGGAUGACUGUUAAUCAUUAGGUCGGCGGUUCGAGCCCGUCCCAGGGAGCCA